AACGAACGCUGGCGGCAGGCCUAACACAUGCAAGUCGAACGCCGUAGCAAUACGGAGUGGCAGACGGGUGAGUAACACGUGGGAACGUACCUUUUGGUUCGGAAUAACUCAGGGAAACUUGAGCUAAUACCGGAUACGUGCGAGAGCAGAAAGAUUUAUCGCCGAAAGAUCGGCCCGCGUCCGAUUAGCUUGUUGGUGAGGUAACGGCUCACCAAGGCGACGAUCGGUAGCUGGUCUGAGAGGAUGAUCAGCCACACUGGGACUGAGACACGGCCCAGACUCCUACGGGAGGCAGCAGUGGGGAAUAUUGGACAAUGGGCGCAAGCCUGAUCCAGCCAUGCCGCGUGAGUGAUGACGGCCUUAGGGUUGUAAAGCUCUUUCGCCAGGGACGAUAAUGACGGUACCUGGAUAAGAAGCCCCGGCUAACUUCGUGCCAGCAGCCGCGGUAAU
rnacentral:rRNA from 1 species